GACGAACGCUGGCGGCGUGCUUAACACAUGCCAGUCGAGCGGAAAGGCCACUUCGGUGGUACUCGAGCGGCGAACGGGUGCGUAACACGUGAGUAAUCUGCCCCUCACUUUGGGAUAGCCACCGGAACCGGUGAUUAAUACCGGAUAUGACCAUAUGACGCAUGGCGAGUGGUGGAUAGUUUUUCGGUGAGGGAUGUGCUCGCGGCCUAUCAGCUUGAUGGUGAGGGAAUGGCGCACCAUGGCCUCGACUGGUAGCCCGCCUGAGAUCGUGACCGCGGACACUGCGACUGAGACACGGCGCAGACGCCUACGGGGGGCAGCAGUCGGGAAUAUUGGACAAUGGGGGGAAGCCUGAGCCAGCGGCGCCGCGUGCGGGAUAACGGCCUUCGAGUUGUAAACCUCUUUCAGUGCCGACGAAGCGCAAGUGACGGUAGGUACAGAAGAAGCACCGGCCAACUACGUG
rnacentral:rRNA from 1 species